ensembl:lncRNA
AUGUCUGGCAAACGUUGCCUCGCCUCUUCUGUGCAGAUGGAAAGCUGCGAGGGCCCGUCCUUCUCCCUCCACACACCCAGAUACAUCAGCUGGUGCGUAGACUCCCCCGUACCUGCGACCACAGUCGCUCCAGAAGAACAUUUAAGCCACAACCGGCAGCCGGCCGGUUCAGGAUCAGUUCCGCUUCUCCUCCUGUCGCCACCGGAAACCGACGCCACGUUCUCCCGUCAACGACCGCAGGCGGCGUUCACAGAGCGGAGUGGCGGGGGCGAGGAUAAUGAUGAUGAUGAUGAUGGCAACGAGGAGGGAACACAGUGGAGCAAAGAGGAGGUGGAGGAAAAAACCUUCUUCCUUCCCAGGAGCAGUCCGGUUAUCUCCAGACGCCACAGGCCCGUCUCGUGGCACGGAGAGGACACCGGCAUGUCGGCCCCGUCCAGCUUGGACUCCCCGACUCCUGCUCCCGUUUCGCCGACCGUCCCCAGCACGUCCGCUGGACAGCGGGCCAAGAAGCCGCUCUGCCCGCCUGCCUCCUCGCAGCUCAACCGCCUGCUGGGCCCCUGGGCCCGCCGGCCUUUUGGCGGGCAGCAGGGAUUGGCUGAGGGGGACGAGGGCCGGGGGCCGACCGGCUGUGAUGCCUCGGACUCAUCCGUCCCUUCAACCUCAGCAGAUCAUAGCAAAGAGAAAAGGUGCAGCCGCAUCCCAGAAGUCCCUGCAGACAUCUUUAAGACCAGUUGUGAUCUGGAAAAGGUGCGUUCAAUCAGUUACAGUAGUUUGGUACUUCAGAGCAGCAUCAGGGUCGUCGUGUCGCAGGGGGUAGAGUGGGUGCGCUGGGAACGGCAAGGUUGGUGGUUCGAGUCCCGGCUGCCCCAGUUGAAGUGUCCCUGA